GGAUCGGCUACCUCCGGAGCCAAGGCUCCCUCUCACACUCCCCCCAAUCCCACCAGCGGCAAAAUCCUUUAAAAGGAACAAAGGCAAUGGGGGCGGGGAGGGGGCUUCCUCUUUGGUCGACCUAGGGCGGCGGCUGACGCAGCCCGCCGCCGGUCAGCUUUCAGGUGAGUGCCUGAACCCGCAUCCCGCCCAUGCCUUAGGGACCCCUCUUCGCCCAGCCAAGCCCGGGGCGGGGAGGAAAGUCCCCCUCAGCCGCACUCGGGCCCCCAACCCGGCCAAGGGGUCGCCAACUCGCGGCACUUUCUGCCUGUUUGUUUUCGCUCAGUACUCACAGUUUAGAUGCUAAGCCGGCUCCUCUUGCACUCACUUCCUUUGUGUCUCUCUCUCUCUUUCUCUCUCUCUCCCCCUCACCAAUCUCUUUCUUCCCUCCUUGUCCGAUUCUCUGCUGUAGCUUCCAGUGGAGAAAAAUAAUUAUUCUUCAAUGGGUUAGCACGGGGCGCACGCACACACGCGCGCGCACACACACCCCGCCGAGGUACCCAAUCAAUGCACAAAUCUUCGGGGUCCCUUUAACCUCUGCGGAUGACUCCGGGAGUUAAUUAUGAAGCCUAUUUCGGCGCGGCAUAAAUAUGCAUUAAGGUAGGAAAUAAUCGAUACGCUGAACUUCUGGGAACUGGCAUUUAGACGGACUCCGUCUCGCCGCCCCCCACUCCCUCCAUGGCCCCACGAGCCACCUCCACAGCCUCGCGCCUUCCCGGGGUCGCAACGCCUAUCACAAGCUUCUACCCGGGUUUCAGGGGGCCCCUGUAGUGGCGUGGGCGCCGCGCCGGUGCCGGGAGACCCCCUCGUGCGCCCUCUGCGGUCGGGGCAGACCCUCAGCCGGAGCUUCUUCCUCCCCCACCCCUGCAGGCCGGGCCCAAGCUGCGACACCCCCAGCACGGGCUCAGCCUGUGAACAAACUCCGAGCUCAGUACUCGGAGGAACUGGCGAGAGCGGGACGGCUACCUGCCCGCACGCCCGAUUUCCGGGCACAGCUAGAAAGACCGGGACGCGAUUCAACUCCCAAUCCGCCCCCCAGCCCCGGGGCCGGCGUGCCCGGCCCACCCCGCCCUCCGCGCCCCCCGACGGCCGCGGUCAGCCGGCAUUCCGGAGCAGCGCGUCGGAGCUGCAACUUCGCGCCUAAGCGCCCGCACCUCGCAGCCCGGCGGGCGGGAGACAAAAGCUGCGGCGCCGCCGCCGGAGGCCGCGCGGCCAAGGAAUUAAUGGAGAAUUCAGAGAAAUCAGAGCUUCUACCCCACCACCCUCUGUCAUUGCACUGCCCUGGCACAUGGGCACAACGUCUUCUGAGAAGGGACACAAACUGCUCAGACAUGCGGCAUCCUCCCUGUAGUCCUCCUUUCCUGGCCAGUUGGAGAACGAUCUCUGCCUUUCAGUUCUGAACAGCUUCCAGCAUGCCCCAUAGGGAACAUUUUGGAUUUGAAUGAAGAGCAUAAAAAUGUGGUCAGCAUAUUGGCCUUGGUAUUUGAUUUUCUUUUUUCCAUGCAACCGGCCCCAGGAGGUGACUGACAAGUUGGGCCAAGUGCACUGAAAGCCCUGUCUCGGCUGGCCCAUAACUCCUGAGCUACACAGACCCCUAAGGACCCCGUGAGCCAGCAGAGAGCCAUAAAUCCAGCAAGCUGGAGGCUGGGAGCUCACUGAUUGCACUGGGGAAAAGCAGCCUGAUCUGAUUGCUAUGUGAGCUGGAGAGAGAAAAGGUGGUAACUGGAGUGCUGGAAAUACAACGACUUUGGAACAAAAUGAAGCAACAGAGGAAUGGCAGGAGGGACUGUGGUUUUCUCAUCUGUACAACAAAGGGGCUGGAUUGGACUGCCUCUGAAGCCCUUUCAUCACAGAAAUUCUGUGUUUCUCUUUGUAACUAAGGUCAAACAGAUGUGGGAGGGUGUCAGGAUGGGAAAGCAAGAUCGGGGGACCCAGAGAAGCCAGAAGAGGCAACGAGGAGGCCAACAUAUUUACUGCCCAAUUACUAUCACAUUUUUUGGUGUGUGUGUGAGACAGGGUCUCACUCUGUCUCCCAGACUGGAGUGAAGUGGUGUGAUCUCGGCUCACUGCAAACUCCGCCUCCCAGGUUCAAGCGAUGCUCAUACCUCAGCCUCCUGAGUAGCUGGGAUUACAGGCACAUGCCACCACACCUGGCUAUUUUUUUAUUUUUAGUAGAGAUGGGGUUUCACCAUGUUGGCCAGGCCGGUCUCGAACUCCUGGCCUUAAGCCACUCACCUGCUCAGCCUCCCAAAGUGCUGGGAUUACAGGUGUGAGCCACUGCACCCGGCCAACUAUCACAUUUAAUUCUCAGAAUAACAAGUGAGAUAGAUAUAGUUAUCGCUAUUUUACAGAGAACACUGAAGUACAGAGGCUACAUUAAUAUCUCAAGGUCACAAGGCUCCGUGCUCAGGCUGGGAUUCCAACCCAGGCAGUCUGACCCAGAGCCUGCACGCUUGGUCAUGAAGCCCUCUCGCCUGAGUAUGCAAUGUGACCAGGAAAACCCUGGAGGAAACAUGUACACAACUUGUGUUUCCUUACUUUUAAGGGUAAGAGUGGAAAACAGAUAGUCCCCAUGGAGUAGAUUGUCCAAAAUACACAUCUGUCUUCUGGGAAAGAGGAGUGUGUGUGUGUGUGUGUGUGUGUGUGUGUGUGUCCAUAGGGGAUGUAACAGACAGAACCAAGAAGCAUGUAGGUGAAAAUAUUUAAUAGGGAUGAAUGUAAAUUCCUGUACCUGGGCACAGAAUCCCCAUUAUAUAAAAAUAGAAUAGAGAGUUAGGAUCAGAAAGCAUCAAUUUAGGGGCUUCACCUGACAGUAAGCUCAGGUUGAACACCAGUGUGGUGAGGCUUCCAGAAAAGCCCACCACAGGGCUGCAUCAACAGAAGGGAAGUGUCCCACACCAGGACAGAACCCUUAGACCAUUCGCGCUAGGUUGAGUUCCAGGCCCCUUGCUAUAAGAGGGACAGAGCCAGGCCGGAGAGGAUAAAGAGGAGAGCAACAGGGAUAGUGAUGGACAUCUGAGGAAGAGGUAAAACACCAGUUGAAAGAACCAGGCCAGACAUGGUGGCUCAUGCCUGUAAUCCCAGCACUCUGGGAGGCCAAGGCAGGUGGAUCACCUGAGGUCAGGAGUUUGAGACCAGCCUGGCUAACAUGGUGAAAUCCCGUCUCUACUGAAAAUACAAAAAUUAGUCAGGUGCAGUGGUGGGCACCUGUAAUCCCAGCUACUUGGAAGGCUGAGGCAGGAGAAUUGCUUGAACCCAGGAGACAGAGGUUGCAGUGAGCCAAGAUUGUGCCACUGCACUCCAGCGUGGGCAACGGAGAGACUCUGUCAUAAAAAAAAAGAAAAGAAAAAGAAAGAACCAGGUGACAUUGUGCAAGUUACACCAUACAUCACAACGUCAGUUUUCCUAUCUGCAAAAGGGGUUUAUUAGUAGGGACGGCAUAGAGAUUAAAUGAGGUAAUGCAUGUAAAGUGCUUAGCUGGGGGCUGGACAUAAUAAACGUUAGCUGCACCAGCCGUUAUUAAACCCUGAGCAUGCUCACCUCAGACAAGGGGUGCAUCAGGGACCUGGCUGGAGGAUCAAGCACAGGGAUCUCCAUGGCAUGGGUCCAGAGUCACAGCUCUGCAUGUAGCUUAGUGAAGCCAAAGGCCCCACAAGUUGUUCCUCAUCCUCUGACAUAAGUUCUAUUAAACCUCAGCAGCUCAUUCUUCUUGGUGGUAGUGAGUUCUCUUAGUGAUCAAAGCACAAAGGUGUCUGGCUAGCACUGUUCCCUCCUUUUGGGCAGGCUAGUUGGGUGGGCAGGGAGUGCAGGGGCCAUGGGACCAGCAGGGCCCCCAGUGACUGCCAAGGUCCAAGGCACCUCCUGCUGGCUCAUUCAGCCCCCUCCUGUUCUGGUCCUUCCCCUUCCCCAGCCCACAGCCCCAUCUUGUCCUCCUCCACCCUCCUUGCUCUCUUGCUGGGAGCAGGGACAGCAAUGCUAGUCUCCCCUUUGACGCUUUUCCUGAACAUUGGCUGAGCAUCAGUUUCCUACACUGGCAGAAGCGAGACACACAGUAGGCUUUCAAGGACAGAGAGGAGGAGGACUGAAUGCUUAGAAGACAGCAAAGUACAUCACAGGCUGUUGGGUUGGAAAGCACCUGCAGGAUCACCUAGUUUAAUCCUUAGACUUGGUGGUUUUCUAACUGUACUGAGCAUAGAAUUAUUUGCGGUAGAUUGUUUAAAUGCAGAUUCCCGGGCCCUACGUACUGAAAUACAGUCUCUUGGGUGGAUUCCCAGGAAUUUCAUUUGUAACCAGCUCCAGCAGGUGAUAGCCCAUGCAGGUGGUCUGGGUGGACAUUUUGAGGAACACUGCCCUUAUUCCUGACUCCUCUCCAUAUUUCUACUACAUUCCUGCCACAUAGCCAUGAGAAAACUCACAGAAAAGAGUUCACAGAACGCCUCUGCUCUCAACUCAUUCACAGUCUAGCUGGAGACAGAGGACAGCCACAGGAGCAGUUAGUGCUCAGGUCUUGACCGAGGGCCUGCCAUGGGAGUUCAGAGGCAGGCUGGCCCAACUCAAGGCUCCGGGAGGAGACAAGGUUUGAGCAGGGCCAGGACAACCGGAUAUGGUUUUCUUCCCUAGUCAGCUAAGAUCUGUUCUUAGUGGAGGUGCUCAAUUAGCCAAGCUCAUGAAUUCUGCAUGUCUGACUGACUUUCAUCCACCUCCCUCUCCUCCCUUCAGAUGGAGCCCUCUGCUCUCUGGGAUGUAAUUACGAUAUCUGGCCUGUUUUAAUGAAGGCAAAAAUAUUCAGUAUUUGUAUGCGACUUCUCCCAUGUUGGAGAGGGUGGGAGGGGGCAGGGCAGGGAGGCGGAGCCUUGGGAGAAUGAGAGACUAAUAACCGCACCUUUGCACUACCAUCUAGCAUCUCAGUUCACAAAGUCCAUUCGCAAGUAUUUUCUCAUGGAAUCUAUGGCCCUACCACGGUGGCCAAGUGUUUUAGAACCAUUUGUGCCAGCAAGGUGUGUCUGCAUGGUGUUUUAAAUGAUGUUGACAUUAUGUCAGCUCAAGUAAAUCAAUAUUUCCAUGUCAACCAACUCAUUUAGCUGAGAGUUCACAUACCAGGAUAUCAGUUAACUUACAUCAAAAAUGUUUCAUUAGGAAGUCAGUUUUUAUUUCUCUUAUUGUUCAUGGUGAUGUUCACUGACCUAUUCCUAGCAUGUUACACUAACCUUGAACUGUUGAUUGGAAUAAGCACAAUUGUUUUACAAACCACUAGAAAAAUAAAGAGUUUUAUUAGUUACUAUACAACCAUUGGUUGUAAACUAUGUGCCAAUUUCAAAGAUACUAAAAUUUGAAAAAUAAUGCAUGUUUAAAUCUGUAAAAUGGGCCAGGCACACUGGCUCAUGCCUGUAAUCCCAGCACUUUGGGAGGCCGAGGCAAGCAGAUCACUUCAGGUCAGGAGUUCAAGACCAGAAUGGCCAACAUGGAGAAUCCCCGCCUCUGCUAAAAAUACAAAAAUUAGCCAGGUGUGGUAGCAGUGCCUGUAAUCCCAGCUACUCGGGAGGCUGAGGCAGGAGAAUCACUUGAACCUGGGAGGUGGAGGUUGCAGUAAGCCAAGAUCACACCACUGUACUCCAGGCUGGGCGACAGAGCAAGACUCUAUCUAAAAAAGAAUAAAUAAAUAAAAAUAAAUAAAUAAAUCAGGAAAAUGGUCUAGGUGACAAUGGACACAACAAUAAACAUUAGUCCACCUGACUUUGGCACAUGAAUUUUUUUUUUUUGAGACGGAGUCUCUGUCGCCCAGGCUGGAGUGCAGUGGCGCGAUCUCGGC
rnacentral:lncRNA from 1 species